rnacentral:rRNA from 1 species
UACGUAGGGGGCUAGCGUUGUCCGGAUUUACUGGGCGUAAAGGGCGGGUAGGCGGCCACUGCAAGUCGGUUGUGAAAUCUCCGGGCUUAACUCGGAAAGGUCAAUCGAUACUGCAGGGCUAGAGUGCAGAAGGGGCAACUGGAAUUCUCGGUGUAGCGGUGAAAUGCGUAGAUAUCGAGAGGAACACCUGCGGCGAAGGCGGGUUGCUGGGCUGACACUGACGCUGAACUGCGAAAGCUAGGGGAGCGAACGGG